GACAUCUCCAGCUCGGUUUGUUGAUUGGUUGGUGUUACUUUCAGAAUGCCACCUCUCAGCCAGAGCACUUUUCCCAGCUAGAAAUGUGAGGCGCUCUUCUGAAAACACCCAGCUGGGAGCGGUUUGGAGGAGCAGCA